CCCUACGUGACUGAUGACAGGCAACACGUAGCGAGAACGUGCGAGGGG
rnacentral:ncRNA from 1 species